CCUACGGGAGGCAGCAGUGGGGGAUAUUGCACACGUAUGCGCGACCUGAUGCAGCGACGCCGCGUGAGCGAUGAAGGCCUUCGGGUCGUAAAGCUCUGUUUCGAGGGAAGAUAAUGACGGUACCUCGGGAGGAAGCCCCGGCUAACUACGUGCCAGCAGCCGCGGUAA
rnacentral:rRNA from 1 species